rnacentral:rRNA from 1 species
UGCGUAGGCGGUUUUCUAAGUCACGUGUGAAAUCUUCCGGCUCAACCGGAAAACUGCGCGUGAUACUGGAAGACUUGAGUGAGGUAGGGGUGUGUGGAACUUCCGGUGGAGCGGUGAAAUGUGUAGAGAUCGGAAGGAACGCCAGCAGCGAAAGCGGCACACUGGGCCUUUUCUGACGCUGAGGCACGAAAGCUAGGGGAGUGAACGGGAUUAGAUACCCCGGUAAUCCUAGCCGUAAACACUGAACACUGGAGGACGGGGGCUUCGGCCUUCGUUCUCGUAGCGAAAGCGUUAAGUGUUCCGCCUGGGGAGUAUGGUCGCAAGGCUGAA